rnacentral:rRNA from 1 species
UACGUAGGGGGCGAGCGUUGUUCGGAAUUAUUGGGCGUAAAGGGUGUGCAGGCGGUUUAGCAAGUCUGGUGUGAAACGGUUGGGCUUAACCCAAUCUUGCGUUGGAAACUGUUGAACUAGAAUAUAAGAGAGGCUGUUGGAAUUCCUGGUGUAGGGGUGAAAUCUGUAGAUAUCAGGAGGAACAUCUAAGGCGAAGGCAGGCAGCUGGCUAUAUAUUGACGCUGAGGCACGAAGGUGCGGGGAGCAAACA